rnacentral:lncRNA from 1 species
AAAGAUGGGCAAAACCCUAGAAGGUUCAGAACGAAGACCUUUCCUUGAAGUGUUGAAGCAAAGCUCGUCUUGCAUAGAUAAGUUCUUCUCCUAUUGUUAUUUUUCGUUUUGAAUUUUGUUUCUUGUAAAGUCGGUUCAAUCGUGUUUUAUGUUAGGGUCAUUAGUUUUGCUUAAUAUUUCAUUUUUGAUUUCUUAUUGAUUUAUUUAGUUAGAUAGGUUAGCAUCUCUGCCUAUGCAUCGUUUUUUUCAAACUAAUUUUCUUUUGUACAUAUUAGUUUUUUGAAUCUGUUUGAUCUUGUUUGUCUCAGUGUUUCAUUUAUUUUUAGAUUUGAUGUAGGUUUUGUUUGGUUUUCAUUUAUGUUUUAAUGAUAAUUAUUC